CGUGUAAAAAAUCUAUUGGAACUAUGGAAAAAACCUGCAUUUCGAAUCUGAUACUAUUGGUUCUAAUAAUUUUUUCGCUAAUCCAGUAGUGUUUUCUCAUGAGAGAUACGGUUUCACAAAGAAUUUACAAAUUACUUGACGUUAUUAGAAAUUGACUCGUCAAACUAUAUUUUUUUUUAGAUUGCGGUGUGCACCAGGAUUAUGCAAUCUCGCGGUGGAGAAAAGUAGUUAACGCCGGUAUGAGUACAAGUAGGUGAAAUAUUUUGGUCCUUCUAGAUUGAGCAAUUUUCGCGGCGUGCAAGCGCGCGGCGUCGUCGUGACCGACGUGCACACACACACCUCACGGUCUCGUUAAAACAGCGCACCUCAGUUUCGCAGAGUCUGCCGGCGCGUUCGCAUCCUUCCGCGCGGAAGGAGAGAUCAGGCGCGCAAGUACCCUCGUUUCGUUCCAGGGUGUUCACACCCGUUUGCCUAUACCCGAGCAAACACACCGUAACGAUCCUGCGGCGACUACUCCUCGCGACAGCCCGUAUCCGGAGAUUCGCGCGGAGAGUGCAGUCCGGAGAAAAACGGCGAAAUGUGUCGGAGAGAAAUGCGGGUUUCGAAAACUUUGUGAAGUCGCGCGAAACUUUGCAACGCGUAAAUGUAAUCUUCGAUUUUUCGCUCGGCAGGAGGUUCGCGUGCAAACACCGUCGUCGUCGGCGAUUUUUCCCCUUUGAUAAAUGGAAGAACAUCGCCGGGAUAAAAUACAAAGACAACCCCUGAUUUUGGCGAGAUAAAAUUGGACGAACUGUUUCCGAACGAUUUAAAUACGAAUUGGAACGUUUUUUGUCCGCGAAUCUCACAUUGUGUGUCUAUCGGAGCCGAUCUGAAUCGCUGUGACUCGAUUUAAUGAGGAAAAUGCGGUUUACGGCAGGUGUAACUCGAAACUAUUUGGAUCUCACGAGUCGGGUGUCUACGGUAUUCGGCUGCACCAAAGUGUAUUACAAUGUGUUAUUACGGCCGGAACUUGGCAGUCCAUAUUAAAGUUACGAAGCUCGAGUGCGCAACGCGAGAAUAUUAUACCGUACACACACAGAGACGACGAACGAUUCAAUUUCGUUCUUACAGCGCGCUCGUUCUUACAGAGAAGCUGAUUACAAUCUGAAGAAGAACGGAAUGCGUUGUCUCGCCGGUUCAAAGAACAUUCUACACCGGAGUCAUGAUCCGUGAAAGAAGAAGAAAACGAGUGUCGCGAACUUUAUAAGUGUAAACUGAUCAUUGUGAAAACCAACGUCUCGAAUUUGCAUCUGUUCGCGCGCGAAUCAUUUGAAAACGGAGAUUUUUAUUCGACGUCUGUAUUCGUGACGUCAGGGUAUCUCCCCGUGCGACUUAUUCGACUUCGAUAAUUCGGCGAGCGGUAAUUUAUCCAUCCGAAUUCCGCCGGGUGACGAAUUCGUGAUGCCGCUGGCGACGGGACGAGCGACUUAGCGGGACAUUGCAAUCGAGGAUACGCAAUGAGAGAUCGAAGCAUGAAUCUCGCCGUGCUGAUCGUCACCUGGCUGACGGUGACGACGUCGCGCUCGUGCGUCGCGCUCGACGCGACCGAGGAGGAGGACCCGGGCGAUUAUUACCCGUACGCGGACGACGAUGGCAACCACCUCGACUACGCGAACGCCACGAACUGCACGAACGACUACUGCAUUCCGGACGAGGACUACAUCGACCUGAUGGUGCAGCAUAUAUUCCCCGAGUUCUCCGACUGGGUGCUGAUCGCGAUGCACAGCGUCGUCUUCGUGGUCGGCCUGAUCGGCAACGCGCUCGUCUGCAUGGCCGUCUAUCGCAACCACUCGAUGCGCACCGUGACCAAUUAUUUCAUCGUCAACCUGGCGGUGGCCGACCUCCUCGUCCUGCUCAUCUGUCUGCCGCCGUCGGUGCUAUGGGACGUCACGGAGACCUGGUUUCUCGGGCUGAAACUCUGUAAGGCUGUGCCGUAUCUUCAGACAGUGUCGGUGAGUAUCAGCGUUUUGACGCUGACUUUCAUAUCCAUCGACCGAUGGUACGCUAUAUGUUUCCCAUUGAGAUUCAAGUCGACGACAGCUCGAGCGAAAACCGCUAUCAUAGUGAUUUGGAUGAUAUCGCUGCUCUUUGACAUUCCAGAAUUACUGGUGCUGCACACGGUGCCGUCAAACAGUAGAGUGCAGACUGUAUUAUUCACGCAGUGUGUUUGCUUAUGGAGCCAAGAGAGUCAAACCACCUUCACGAUUAUCAAACUGAUCUUUUUGUACACAAUGCCGUUGCUUUUGAUGAGCGUGGCGUAUUGGCAGAUUGUGCGCGUUCUAUGGAAAAGUGAUAUUCCAGGACACAAUUUGUCUACCAGAGUCUGUCAUUCAACUGAGAUUCCAUUGUCCGGGGGUGGAAAUCCGGAAGGUCAAUUGAGAUCUCGACGGAAAGCGGCGAAGAUGUUGGUCGCCGUAGUCAUUACAUUCGCGAUAUGUUUCUUGCCGGUGCAUUUGCUCUCUAUUCUAAGAUGUACCAUGACGUUACCCUCGAAUCAAUGGACGAUCGCCAUUAGUCUAAUCGCCCAUUGGCUUUGUUAUUUCAACAGCGCGGUGAAUCCUGUCAUCUAUAAUUUUAUGAGUGGUAAGUUCCGGCGGGAGUUCCGUCGUAGUUUCCGGGAGUGCGGCACACCGAGCAAGGAACGGACGAUGACGCUGCCGGUGACCUGCCGGCAUCCCCCGCCGAUCAGCGACGAGUACACGAGGGGGUGCCGUACGAGCUUGCGAGAUCGACCGUUUUGACGGCGCGGGGCGAAACGAGUCCCGUGCAAGAAAAUGAAAGUAGACCUCGACCACGCGACGCCAAAUGUUGCCGAGACGACGUUUAACGGCGAGAUGAAAACGGGAUCGGAUAUUGGUGCACGUGCUUAGUGACCGAUCGCGAGCUUAGGACGAGCCGUAAGGUGGUUGGAAAAUAUUACUUUUACUGAUGAGAGUAUGGGACAUAAUGUCGACGCAGCAGAUUGUAGAAUGUUGACUUACCCGAGGGUGAACGGCGUGUGCCGAUUGCACUGCAUCUCGAUGAAAUAACAGCAGAGCGAAGAGAAUUGUAAACGAUUCCAGAUCACCAAUACUGAAAUCACAAUAUAAUUAAUGUGUGUGUGUCCACGUUAUCGAUUAUACAUGUAAUUUAUCAGACACACAAUUACACGGUUCAUUGAUUAUAAUUUAAAAUUAUAAAAUUAUAAAAUCGAUAAAUAUAAAUUAUUGGAAAAUUGUUAA
rnacentral:misc_RNA from 1 species